rnacentral:rRNA from 1 species
AAUUUUAAUUUUAUUAAGAUUAAGUUUAUUUUUUUGUCAAAUAUGAUUAUAUUUAUUAUUUAAGAAAAAUUUUUUUUUAUUAUAGUUUAUUGAACUGUGAGGGUUAUUAAAUUUUCCUAAAAGAAGAAUUAAUUUUUUGUACCUUGUGUAUCAGGGUUUAUUUAACUAAUUUUGAAUAAUUUUAUCUCGAAUUUAAGAGAUUUAAAUAUAUAUUUAUUUUAUAGUAGAAUAUUUAUUUAUAAUAUAUAUUUAGUAAUGAAAUGUUAUUCGUUCUUAAGUAUAUCUAGUUUUCUAAUAAAUUAAUUCAAUUAAGCUCUAAUAAAAAUUAAUUUAUUUAUUUUUUAUUUUUAGUUAGAUGUUACUAAUUAAGGGAAUAGCUUUAAUUAAAAUUUUUAAUAUAUUUUUUAGUGUAAAGUUAAGUAGAAUUGAAAGUUUUUAUCUUUUUUAUAAUGUUAUAAUUUUUCUUUUUAUAUGAUGAUUUAUUUUUAUAUAAUUUUUGUAUUAGGAUAAAGUUAUUAAUUUAAUUUAAUUUGAAAUAAUGAUAAAAUUAGUAUAAAUUUAUUUAAAAAUAUAAUUAAUUUAUAUGUUAAUUUCAGUAAUUCGGCAAAUUAAUGCUCACCUGUUUAUUAAAAACAUGUCUUUAAGUUUAUUAUUUAAAGUCUAGCCUGCCCAAUGAUGUUUAAAUGGCCGCAGUAUUUUGACUGUGCUAAGGUAGCAUAAUCAUUAGUUUUAUAAUUGAAAGCUUGUAUGAAGGGUUGGAUGAGGCAUUAACUUUCUUAAAUUAAAUUUUUUAUAAUUUUACUUUUUAGUUAAAAGGCUUAAAUUUUUUAUGGGGACGAGAAGACCCUAUAGAGUUUUAUUUAUAAUUAUAUAUUUUGUUUUGGAAUUUAAGUUGAUAAAUGAUUUUAAAUUUAAUUGGGGUGAUUGAAAAAUUUAAUUAACUUUUUCUUUUAAAAACAAACAUUUUUGAUUUAUUGAUCCUUGGAAGGGACUAUAAGAUUAAACUACCUUAGGGAUAACAGCGUAAUUUAUUUUUAGAGUUCUUAUUAAAAAGUAAGUUUGCGACCUCGAUGUUGGAUUAAGAUUUCUUUUAGGUGAAGAAGCUUAAAUAGUAGGUCUGUUCGACCUUUAAAAUCUUACAUGAUCUGAGUUUAGACCGGUGUGAGCCAGGUCGGUUUCUAUCUCUUAUUAAAUAAAAGGUUUUAGUACGAAAGGAUUGAACUUUUAAUUAAUAAUUUUUAUUUGAUUAAUAUU